UUGCUUGGGCAGCACAUACACUGAAAUUGGAACCACGCCGAGAAGAUUAGCAUGGCCCCUGAGGAAGGAUGGCAUGCAAAUUUGUGAAGCGUUCCACAUUUCU